GUCUACAUUAGAUACCCCUGUAGUCCCAGCCGUAAACUAUGCUCGCUAGGUGUCAGGCAUGGCGCGACCGUGUCUGGUGCCGCAGGGAAGCCGUGAAGCGAGCCACCUGGGAAGUACGGCCGCAAGGCUGAACUUAAAGGAAUUGGCGGGGAGCACCACAACCGGGUGGAGCCUGCGGUUUAAUUGGACUCAACGCCGGAAGCUCACCGGAUAAGACAGCGGAAUGAUUGCCGGGCUGAAGACUCUGCAUGACUAGCUG
rnacentral:rRNA from 1 species